AUGACCCUCUCAUUCACUUUCUCUCGUCUAUUUUCUGGAAACCCGAUUCUAAUUUUAAACUGCAUUUUCGGACUAUCAGGUCACGUGAGGUUAAGCUACGUCAAUAAGGAGCUUGAGACAUGGCUUUAAACGGUCGAAAAUAUGUCUGAGGAAUAAAAUCGUUUUCUUAUGUUUGCAGAUGGAAGGAGACGAAAAAAUCAUUUUGAGAAAAUACAUCUCGGAAUAUUUGCUGUUAAAAACUACCAAGGAUGAAGUCGGAUGAAAUUUGCAUGCCAAGACAACAGUUACGUGAUUAGUACAAGCCAAUGUUCAAUUUUUGCUAACAUACAGCAGUAAUGUGUGACAGACUUUCCACAGCAGUGUUAUGGAGGCAAAAUCAGAGCAAUAUGUACAUGCCAAGAUGCUAAAGUUUUACAAGCAUAUUGAAGGAGUUGUUAUUACAAGCAUACUGAAGUGAUGUGUGUUCCACAACAGUAAAUUAUCGAACGAAAAGCAGUAUUCACUUUACAAAUACAAAUAUUUAGUGCACAAGUUUGAUCUAUAAUCUCGGAGAUAUAUGAUAAGAUCAAUCAAAGAUCUUUUCCAUGUAAUAACAUGAUGCUCUUUAUACUGAGAAUUCUCCCACAUUAAAGGUCAUAAACAGUAAGACGUUAACAUGAUGCUAGAAUUUUGUCCUUACUCCUACUAUGGAGCAUUUUCUCCCAUUACGCAUCUGUGAAAUUGCUAUCAAUGCAUAAGGUCAUUAUUGUAACUUUUUCCUGCCACUAUCUGUCACCCCCAACUCCUAUCAGCAGAAACAAACAACAUGAUCAUAACAUGAUGUUGAAAGUUUCUCCUUAUGCGUUGAGAUAAGUUGCAUGGUGUGAUAGAUGUGGUAGAAACUUCUAUUACAACAUGAUGAUAGUAUGUUUUGCCAGUAGUAAAACUGUAAUCAAUGUCAAAUAAUUGUUUCCUUUGUAUGCCAAUUCAGUUCACUCUCAUUGUUUUUCAUUAUUAAUAGCAUUUCUAGUAUUUGAAAACAUACUUUACAAUCCAACACAUCUGAUCCUGUUUAAUGUGGGUGGGACAAGUCUGCCAAGGUGGUCAACAUUCAUAGUUUU